GAUGAACGCUGGCGGCGUGCCUAACACAUGCAAGUCGAGCGAGGGUUUGCUCAGUAUUGAGUAUUCUAAGUCUAGAAUGUUCAAUUCUGAGCAAAACCAAGCGGCGGACGGGUGAGUAACGCGUGGGUAACCUGCCCUAUACACAUGGAUAACAUACUGAAAAGUUUACUAAUACAUGAUAAUAUAUAUUUGCGGCAUCGCAGAUAUAUCAAAGUGUUAGCGGUAUAGGAUGGACCCGCGUCUGAUUAGCUAGUUGGUGAGAUAACUGCCCACCAAGGCGACGAUCAGUAGCCGACCUGAGAGGGUGAUCGGCCACAUUGGAACUGAGACACGGUCCAAACUCCUACGGGAGGCAGCAGUGGGGAAUAUUGCACAAUGGGCGAAAGCCUGAUGCAGCAACGCCGCGUGAACGAUGAAGGUCUUCGGAUCGUAAAGUUCUGUUGCAGGGGAAGAUAAUGACGGUACCCUGUGAGGAAGCCCCGGCUAACUACGUGCCAGCAGCCGCGGUAAUACGUAGGGGGCUAGCGUUAUCCGGAUUUACUGGGCGUAAAGGGUGCGUAGGUGGCCCUUCAAGUCGGUGGUUAAAGGCUACGGCUCAACCGUAGUAAGCCGCCGAAACUGGAGGACUUGAGUGCAGGAGAGGAAAGUGGAAUUCCCAGUGUAGCGGUGAAAUGCGUAGAUAUUGGGAGGAACACCAGUAGCGAAGGCGGCUUUCUGGACUGCAACUGACACUGAGGCACGAAAGCGUGGGUAGCAAACAGG
rnacentral:rRNA from 1 species